UCCUCCUGCAGAAGGGAAACGAUUUAAAACCUUCCCCUCCCCCACUUCACCUCUUCAGUUCUUGCACUCAAGGAUGUGGCUAUACGUGCCAGGUGACAUGCAAACUAAGGUGAAAUCCUAUACCCCAAAUCACAGCCUUUUGCCACCUCUCUUUUCCAGUUGGCCAAUGUCACAGCAAAUUCAGUGCCUUGGCCAAGUGCUUGGCACUUCUAAGUGUCUGAGAGUGGCAGGUCCCUGGGAAGAACUGGUGCUUCUAUCUAAGGAAAAGCACCACAUAGCCAACGAGAACAUUUAGUUAGUAACUUACCAUCAAAUAUAUCCACCAUUCUGAAGAAAGCCAGUGAUA